AACGAACGCUGGCGGCAUGCCUAACACAUGCAAGUCGAACGAGACCUUCGGGUCUAGUGGCGCACGGGUGCGUAACGCGGGGGAACCUGCCCAUAGGUUCGGAAUAACUCGCCGAAAGGGGUGCUAAUACCGGAAAAUGUCUUCGGACCAAAGAUUUAUCGCCUUUGGAUGUGCGCGCGUUUGAUUAGCUAGGUGGUAGGGUCAGAGCCUACCAAGGCGACGAAGCAUAGCUGGUCUGAGAGGAGGAUCAGCCACACUGGGGAUGAGACCCGGCCCAGACUCCUACGCGAGGGAGCAGUAGAGAAUAUUGGACGAUGGGCGAAAGCCUGACGAAGCAAUGUGGGGUGAGUGAUGAAGGCCGUAGGGUUGUAAAGCUCUUUUAGCCGGGAUGAUAAUGACAGUACCGGGAGAAUAAGCUCCGGCUAACUCCGUG
rnacentral:rRNA from 1 species